AUUGAACGCUGGCGGCAGGCUUAACACAUGCAAGUCGAACGAGUGGCGGACGGGUGAGUAAUGCAUGGGAAUCUAGCUGAUGGAGGGGGAUAACUACGGGAAACUGUAGCUAAUACCGCGUACCAUAGGAUGAGCCCAAGUGGGAUUAGGUUGUUGGUGAGGUAAAGGCUCACCAAGCCGACGAGCUCUAGCUGGUCUGAGAGGAUGACCAGCCACACUGGGACUGAGACACGGCCCAGACUCCUACGGGAGGCAGCAGUGGGGAAUAUUGGACAAUGGGCGAAAGCCUGAUCCAGCCAUGCCGCGUGUGUGAAGAAGGUCUUCGGAUUGUAAAGCACUUUAAGUUGGGAGGCGUUACCAACAGAAUAAGCACCGGCUAACUCCGUGCCAGCAGCCGCGGUAAUAC
rnacentral:rRNA from 1 species